UUGGAUCAAUUUGUGGCCGUUUUGGAGCCAUUUGGGGCCAUUUUGGGGCCAUUUUGAGCCAUUUCAGGACAAUUUGGGGCCGUUUUGGGGGCAUUUGUUGCCAUAUGGGGCCAUUUGUUGCCAUUUUUGGGACCAUUUCAUGUCAUUUGUGGCCAUUUGGGGGCCAUUUUGGGUCCAUUUGUUGCAACUUGGGGCCAUUUGGGGUCCAUUUGUGGCGAUUUGGGGCCGUUUUGGGUCCAUUUGUGGUGAUUUGGGGCCGUUUUGGGGGCAUUUUGGGGCCAUUUGUUGCAAUUUGGGGCCAUUUGGGGUCCAUCUGUGGCGAUUUGGGGCCAUUUUGGGGCCAUUUGUUGCAACUUGGGGCCUUUUUGGUUCCAUUUGUGGCGAUUCGGGGCCGUUUGGGGUCUAUUUGGGGCCACUUGGGGUCUAUUUGGGGCCACUUGGGGUCUAUGUGGGGCCAUUUGGGGUCUCUUUGUGGCGAUGUGGGGCGGUUUUGGGGCCCACCUGGAGAUGCAGGCCCUGCACCCAGUGCCCCACAGGCCGGUACGCCCCGCUGCCGUUGCUCCACUGGAACUGGAAGAUGUCGUAGCGCCCCGGCGCGUCGCCGUUCUCGUUGAACAUCACCGGCGUGCCGGCGCUGCCUGCGCCAGUACGGACCGGUAUCAACCAGUACGGACCAGUGUAAACCAGUACGGACCGGUGUAAACCAGUACGGACCAGUAUAAACCAGUACGGACCGGUAUAAACCAGUACGGACCGGUAUCAACCAGUACGGACCGGUGUAAACCAGUACGGACCAGUGUAAACCAAUACGAACCGGUAUAAACCAGUAUGGAGCGGUAUAAACCAGUACGGACCAGUAUAAACCAGUACGGAGCGGUAUAAACCAGUACGGAGCGGUAUAAACCAGUACGGACCGGUGUAAACCAGUACGGACCAGUAUCAACCAGUACGGACCGGUGUAAACCAGUACGGAGCAGUAUCAACCAGUACGGACCAGUAUAAACCAGUACGGACCAGUAUCAACCAGUACGGACCGGUGUAAACCAGUACGGACCAGUAUCAACCAGUACGGACCGGUGUAAACCAGUACGGACCGGUAUAAACCAGUACAGACCGGUGUAAACCAGUAUGGACCAGUGUAAACCAGUACGGACCGGUGUAAACCAGUACGGACCAGUAUAAACCAGUAUGGAUCGGUAUAAACCAGUACGGACCAGUGUAAACCAGUACGGACCAGUAUAAACCAGUACAGACCGGUGUAAACCAGUACGGACCGGUGUAAACCAGUACGGACCAGUAUAAACCAGUACGGACCAGUGUAAACCAGUACAGACCGGUGUAAACCAGUACGGACCAGUAUAAACCAGUACGGAGCGGUAUAAACCAAUACGAACCAGUAUAAACCAGUACGGACCAGUAUAAACCAGUACAGACCGGUAUAAACCAGUACGGACCGGUGUAAACCAGUAUGGACCAGUAUAAACCAGUACAGACCAGUGUAAACCAGUACAGACCGGUAUAAACCAGUACGGACCAGUGUAAACCAGUACAGACCAGUGUAAACCAGUACAGACCGGUAUAAACCAGUACAGACUGGUGUAAACCAGUACAGAC
ensembl:lncRNA